rnacentral:tRNA from 1 species
UACGGAGUGGCCGAGUUGGAUAGGCACGAGUCUCUGAAACUCGCACACGCUGGUUCGACUCCAGCCUCCGUAA